GCUCUCCUGGCUCAAUGGAUAGAGCGUCGGCCUCCGGAGCCGUGUGUCUGGGUUCGAUUCCCGGGGAGAGCG
rnacentral:tRNA from 2 species